rnacentral:misc_RNA from 1 species
CAAUUACAAGUGCUUCUCACGCUCCAACUCCUCUUCGGGGAAGGAGACAAAGGAGCACUGUGGACGAAAAAUCCAUUCCCACCUUGUGUGCAUUGUAACAAACAACCAAUUUCACAAUUUUGAAUUUUUUUGCAAGACCGUCUGAAUGCAUCUCAUUAGCCAAUUUGCGAAAGCAGAAAGGAAAUAAAUGAAAUA